GGGUUGGUUAGCUCAGUGGUUAGGGCUUAGGCCUUGUGAUCGGAAGGUCCUGGGUUUGAAUCUCACCAGAGGCA
rnacentral:tRNA from 1 species